CUGCUGUAUAAAUCUGUAACAACACCAGUUCAGCUGGUUUUCAGAAAACAAGGGGUGGAAAACCUGUGCCGGUGCAGGGAGUCUGAAAGAGUGCUUAGAGUCACUACUAUAAUCUUAAUUGAUAAAGAAUCCAGUGUGGAGAGCAGAGCAGGUUAAAACAGUCCUUCCACAACCAGCCCAAACAAACCUACACUCUCAGCCCAGCAUACUGUGUCCUGAUCGGAACUAUCCAGGAACUACUGAUAACACAGACAGCAGUUAAGGUCAAAGCUUUGUUGGAAUGAUGAAAAUGUGCCCUCCGUCAACUAGAGUGAGCCUUCCUCCUAAGUCACAUACAGAUCACAAACAAGGGAUGGAAUGCAGG